rnacentral:rRNA from 1 species
GUCGACGGUGAGCCCAGCUUGCUGGGUGGAUCAGUGGCGAACGGGUGAGUAACACGUGAGCAACCUGCCCUCCACUUCGGGAUAAGCCUUGGAAACGGGGUCUAAUACCGGAUAUGAGCAUCUGCCGCAUGGUGGGUGUUGGAAAGUUUUUCGGUGGGGGAUGGGCUCGCGGCCUAUCAGCUUGUUGGUGGGGUGAUGGCCUACCAAGGCGUCGACGGGUAGCCGGCCUGAGAGGGCGACCGGCCACACUGGGACUGAGACACGGCCCAGACUCCUACGGGAGGCAGCAGUGGGGAAUAUUGCACAAUGGGCGAAAGCCUGAUGCAGCGACGCCGCGUGAGGGAUGACGGCCUUCGGGUUGUAAACCUCUUUCAGCAGGGAAGAAGGCCUUCGGGUGGACGGUACCUGCAGAAGAAGCGCCGGCUAACUACGUGCCAGCAGCCGCGGUAAUACGUAGGGCGCAAGCGUUGUCCGGAAUUAUUGGGCGUAAAGAGCUCGUAGGCGGUUUGUCGCGUCUGGUGUGAAAUCCCGAGGCUCAACUUCGGGCUUGCAUCGGGUACGGGCAGACUAGAGUACUGUAGGGGAGACUGGAAUUCCUGGUGUAGCGGUGGAAUGCGCAGAUAUCAGGAGGAACACCGAUGGCGAAGGCAGGUCUCUGGGCAGUCACUGACGCUGAGGAGCGAAAGCAUGGGGAGCGAACAGGAUUAGAUACCCUGGUAGUCCAUGCCGUAAACGUUGGGCACUAGGUGU